GAGAGCAGCCCUCGACUGAAAACGCUAAGGUUUUGGUGUACCGCCGUACUUUCGUGUACCGCCGUACCUUUCGUACCCCAAACUUACUUUUCCAACCAACGGUUUUUUCAUCAGCCAUUGGAUUGUCUGCGUCUAUAACCACAACCGUUCAGUUUUUUUUUGUUUUCUUUCUCUUCCUCGGUUAGGUAUCCUAAUUUUCUCUCCAUUCGUUCUCUUCCUGCUUGCCUCUCUUUCUCUUCUGAACAACUAAAAGCGAUCGCUGUAAUUGAAUCUUCACCCAGAUUUCAAGAAAUUUGCAGACAAUCAAUGAGGGAGAUAAAGAACUACUGUGGUUGUUUUUCACUUCCUCGAUUAGUCCAAGGAAUGAGGCGAAACAUGUAACUGUUAUGGAAGCAGUCACAUCAAUUCAACCAAAUAGAAACCUAGAUUCACGCUCUCUUUUUGGCAGCAAGAAAAUCACAAGUCAGAAAUUCUGGAGACCCCCACAGUUAUAGUACAAGUUCAUAGUGAUUUUUUCUUGGACAAAAGAUAGAAAUAUACUGAAGAAUAAGCCUACAGAAAGUAAGCAAAUUACAGAAAGGAGUUAGCUACAGAACAGCCUCAAGAGUCAAGACCCAACAAAAACCAAAAACGUUUACAAUUCAGAUGGAGUGUUGUAUAACUUGUAUAGGAACACUUGAUAACAAAGGAUCUCAGUCCCAAAUGUGUUUUUCUGGAGUGGUAUAUUUUUGAUUUUUUUUCUAACUGAAAUUGUUUGAAUAUACAUUAUAAUAUAUAUAUAUAUAUCUUUCAAAAAUG